UUUUUUUUCAUCAGCAGAUGUUUUAGAAAAAUGACAUUAAGCUCAAAACCUGUUUCCUGCAUACAAACAACAUCUUCCUGUUAAUUUCCUGCAAUUUUCUUUUGCAUGUUCACAUUUUGGUAGAUCUCGCCAGAAGAGAAUGUUCCUACAUACGGUUUGGGUUUUCUCCACGAUCCUAAUGUCUCAAAUUUUUAUAGCCAAAAUUUCUAGUGACUACACCAACACGAUAAAAUCAAACAGUUUUGUUUGCAAUGCCCCGGGAUCUUGCAAAGCUGUA